rnacentral:lncRNA from 1 species
UAAUGCAAAGUAGUCCUUUGACCUGAGGCAUCACAGUUGUCUUGUGGUUAAGUCCUUGAUCUUUGAUUAUGUCAAAGUCACCCCCUCGGGGUGUCCACGGCAUCGUUGGGGUUAAGCCACUUAGCUAUGGAGACAAGUGAAUGCGCAACAAGGGAUCUCUAACCUUCAAACAGUUGAGGGAGAAUACUCUAUGAUAUGAUUUGGAAUCUCUGGCCAGAGUAUGAAUGAGAUUAGGGAAUGCGUUCCAAAUCACAUUCAAGGAAAUCAUAUAAGCACACGAAUCACAUUGGAUAGUAGACAUGAAUAAAUAAACUAUCAUACCAAACAAUGUGGUCAAGAGUAUUAGAUUAGAGAAGGACCGUAUUGCAUUUGUAAUCCCAAACUGAAUAGGUUCUCUAUCCUCUUCUGAUUAGCUUGGGUAACCAUGAUAUGCUGCUAGGUGUCACUCAUGGUUUGUGGAAGCCCUAAACGUGUGUAAUCACUAAAGGGAGAAUUGAAAAUAGUUUCAAUUCACAAUCGAUGUAAAAUGGUUUUAAUCGCCCACUACCUCGCUAAAAGGAACCUAAUGGAUCGCACACCAUAAAAGGUGGAGAUUGAAGAUUAAACGGAAAUGAGUAAGAAUGAUUAAAUGGUUUAAUCAUUUAUUUAUGGCAAGGAUUAAUUAAUAUGUUAAUUAAUCAAACGAAUAAGUUCGUUAAAGACUUCGGGAUAGUUUUGGACCUUAAGGCCCAAUGGGCUUCGAAGGUCAAGCCCAUUAACUUAAGUUGUAUGACAAUUUAAUGAAUGAAGAUUCAUUAAAGCCCAAAAAGCCCAAAAUCCCCUAAAUGGCAAGCCAUAGUGUUGAUGAAUUAGGGUUUUGGUUAUUUAGGUCACUUAAAGAAGUGACUAUAUAAAUGACUUUAUAACUAAAUAUUCAUUAAGUGAUUAAGGGUUUAUUUUGGGGAAAAUUGGUGAGAAUUGUCUCUCCAUUUUCUCUCUAAAGAGGCCAACACCUUGGAGGGUACAUCUAGCAAUCCUACUACUCCAAGGUCACUCAUUUCUUCUACAAUCAAACCUUGGUGAAGAGACUUAGAGGUUCCCUAUUUUGGGAACUUGGAGAAACCUAAUUUUCCAUCCAAAUCCAUGGAUCUAAGAAGCAAGGAAUGAAGGCCCUAUCUCUUUGGGUGAUUAGCCUUUGCUUAUGCAAAGAGGAAUCUACAAAGGUAAUAAUUUCAACUCACUUUGUUUUGAGUUGAUUAUUGGUUCACCAAUCUACUAGGCUUUGAAUUUCAUGGUAAUGUUUUGUUUUUGAGUACAUGCAAGCAUGAUUCCGCCUUUAAUUGUUAAUUGCAUGCCAUAUGAUGUUGCUCAAAUGAACAUGUUUUUCAAAAUAAUCCCUUCAGCAAACUAAUUCAAAAUCAAGUCUCAAUGACCCUUGAGUUAGAACAUUCACAUUGCAGGACUUCAAAACACGUUUCCUACAUGUGACAAGCACAUGCCUACAACGUGCCUUGAAGUAGGGGCAUUUGUAGACAUGUAAAUUUUGUUGCAUACAAAGGAUGCAUUGCAAAGCUCCACGUGGCAUAUGACUCAUCAUAAAUGGACAAGUCAUCAAAGACAUGUGGCUCAAAUCAAGCAAGGGAAGUAUAAAUAUUCCCAAAAUUUGGCUAAAGGGAGAAAACUCCCUUAAAUUCGGCAGAAGGGCCCAAAUUGCUCUCAAAAUUAGAAAGAAAAUGUAUCUUCAUAAAAUAAGCAAGAAUUGAAGAUUGCUCACAAAAUAGGCAACAAGGCCUCAAAAUUUGAGCUAAAGGAGUGAAGUGGUUGAAAUUAAGACACAAAACAUUCCUAAAUUCUCCCAUGAAUGAAUCAAGACACAAAUAAAGGCCAAAUCCACCCAAAGGCAAGCCUUGAGAAGCCUAUAAAUACAAGGUCUUCCCACAAGCAUAGGGGUCUAAAAAUCUCUACAUAGAAGAACCUCUACCAAACCUUUGAAGACUAAUAUGCUGCCAAAGCUCUCUUCGAAGAACAUUCAACCAAAGCUGAAGCUUCCUCUCGACCAAAGCCGAAGCACUUCCUUGAAGAAUAACCAAGUGCUAGUGCCGAUUCUUUCAAGACUUUGUUGCAAGCUUCUAAACUUUUAACAACAUUCGUUUCAAGAUCAAGUCGCCAAGACCUUCAAUGCAAUGAAAUCCCGCUUCAAACACCACCUUUGCCGCACCUUUGACGUGAAAAUCGUCCACACGUUAUUUUUCAAGUUCAAAACUUGAAGCAAUAGUUCAACCGUUCGUCGAAGGUCAAGCCAUCGCGACCCUUGGAUGAAUAAUCACUCAUCUACAUCAUAUUUGAAGACUGAAUCAGAGGAAAAGUCGUAAAUAGAGAUUGUAACCUACAAAUUCAAAUCAAUACAAAUUUGCUUUGUACACGUGUUCUUGUUUCAUUCGAUACAUAAUUUUUGUGUUUACAGUCGUCUACGUAACAUUCUACAUUUUUAUGUAAAAUGUCAUUGUAGAUCUUCUAUAUUGAACAUUGAUAUGUAGCCGUAGCAUUUUUCAAGCCAAAGGGCAUUACCUUGUAGCAGUAGAUACCUGUUGGAGUGCAAAACGCUGUUAGUUCCUAGUCUUCGGGAGCCAUGUGGAUUUGAUUUUUAUUGUACCCAAAGGAGUCAUCCAUGAAUGAUAGUGUCUCGUGGCCAGUGGUCGCGUCCAACAUAAUUUGGAUGAUUGGUAAGGGAGAGUCAACCUUUGGGCAAGCAUCGUUGAGGUCGCAGAAAUCUACACAAACACGUAUUUGUCCAAGUUUCUUAAGGACAAUGAUGAUGUUGGAGAUCCUUUUAGGGUUUUGCACCUCUCGAAUGAAGCCUUCUUCGAUUAGCUUGUCAAUCUCGACCUCAAUUUAUGGGAAGAGUUUGGAUCGAUAACGUCUUUGAGUUUGCUUUAUCGGUCGUGUUCCAGGCUUGACUGUAAGACGAUGGACGGUGAUGGUAGGGUCAAGGUCAAGCAUUUCUUUGUAGGUCCAAGCAAAAACAUCUUUGUACUCCAUUAGAAGUUAGUAGUACUCCUCGAUCUCAUCCGCACUUAGUACUCCUCAAUCUCAUUCACACUUAGUUGUGCCUAAGUUAAGCUCUUUGAGAUCAUCAAUCAUGGCUUGCCCCUCAUCCUUGAGCUAUGGUGGUGCAACAGUGACGUCUUCCUCGGGGAUUUCAUCUUUUUUGUCUUCUUGGAUUGUGAUGUGGAAGACUUCUUGGACUUCCUCUUCAGUGUCAUCCUCUUAGGCUUGUUGGCGUGAAGAUUGGCCAGUGUGGAUGAUGGUUCGCCUCUUUACCUUCAGUUGUCCUUUUGUGUCAACUUCUAAGGUUGCUUGGCGCUUCAUCCUUGAAGGAAUCGAGCUUCGAACGUUUCUUCAAGUCUUUCCAAGGCCGACCAUCGUGGAGGAGAGCUAGACGUGUUUCUUUGUUUCUUAGGUUUUGACAACAUUUUGAAAACAGAGCUUUGGGGUGUUGGCGAGUUAAGCCGUUUGAAGAUGGAAGUUUAGUUACCAAUCAAGCGCCGAAACUCUGGGUUUUGAAUGAUUCAGGUUGUCGAAGAUUGACAUUCAAGGGGCAGGUUUAGGCUCCUUUUGAUCUUGUUCAACACUUAUGCUGAUAUGUUAAGCGCUAGCAUUUUUCUCUUUUCUUGAAAUCUUCACAGGUGUAUUUGGUGUGAAGCCAAGUCCAGCUUUGUUGUUGUCAACUCGGUAACCAUGUUCCUUUAACUUCUUUUGAGUCUCAGUGAGGUUACAUUCUUUGUUGUUGACAGUGUUUGCAUUCUUCUUUCCAAGAUUUGAAGAGGAGGCGAAAUCAUACCCAGACUUUGACAUGAGUUUGUAGGCGUUUGGGUCGAAACCUUCUUCGGUCCUCUUGGUUGGAAGAGUGCUCAGUUCCACCGCCUUUGGCAGAGCGUCACUGUGUCAAAGGUAAAACAACGUUUGUCUUGAGCAGCUUUACAUCGUCCUUGUGAAGCUGUGUAUCAGCUUUGCUUGUUCCAAUUGGGGAUUGCCCAUUCUUUCUUCUCGACAUUGGGAUGUAUCGGAAGAUGGGUGUGUUUGGUCCUUUUAAAGGCGUCUCACUCUCCCUUUGGUUAUUGUAGGUUUAACCAACUUAUCGUCGUUUUUGCUUGAAGAUGGCACGGCUUCCCCUUCUUGUUUCUUGGGCACAACUUGCCACUUUUGUUUCUUAGGUACUGCUUUGCUUGUGAAUUUGAUUUAUUUUGGAAAAGCUUUGGGCACCAUGUCUUAAUCCACGUAGAACUUGGCAUCCGCAAAGUGUGAUUUGGCUUCGGUGAAUGGUUUGGUGUCGCCUUGUAUCACCUUUACUCUUUCUCGAUAGAACUUUAAGCAUUGAUGAAGGGUGGACGGCACUACUCCAUUCUCGUAGAUCCAAGGCUUUCCUAAAAGUAAGUUGUAGGAAGUUUUUGUAUCAAUCACAUAGAAUAACGUGCUUGAUUUGACUUCACCAAUGGUCAUCUCCACUCGGAUCAUGCCCAUUGUUCUUUUUCCUCCUUGGUUAAAACCUUGGAUUAGGUGGCGGCUUCAAGACAGUUCAUCCACCUUGAUGGUGAUUGUGGUCAUUGUUGACUUUGGCAUGAUGUUUAUGUUGGAAACGUGCCCUAAAACCAAUCAUAUGAUGAUACUUUACGGACAUUUCACAAAGUUAAACUAAUGUAGUUUAAAUAUAAAGGGCAAAGAUUAUUGUUUAAGCCGUUUCAUAUAAAUGUUAUAUGCUUAAACGAUAAGUCCAAGGAAUAUGUGAUUGGGAGAAUGCAAUCUAAAGAAGUUAGAUUCAUGAGACCAUUCUUUCGUAAACACAUUCUAAACGUUCCUGAUCAUAGGAUUGCCAAUUAGGCAUUGACAGUCCGUUAAGAUCAGUACGUGCUGUGUCUUUUCUCAGGGAGAGUGACUAGUCUCGAGUCAUUGGUGUGUGUGACAUCAAGACAAGUACGUAGGUGCUUAAUAGAGAAUGAGUUCACUGAACACGAUCAACGAAGAGUUCUCAUAUUCAUGUCACAUGAGAACUCAUGGUUGGGAUAAUGCAAAGUAGUCCUUUGACCUGAGGCAUCAUAGUUGUCUUAUGGUUAAGUCCUUGAUCUUUGAUUAUGUCAAAGUCACUCCAUCAGGAGGGUGUCCACGGCAUAGUUGGGGUUAAGCCACUUAGCUAUGGAGGCAAGUGAAUGCGCAACAAGGGAUCUCUAACCUUCAAACCGUUUGAAGCAGAAUACUCUAUGAUAUGAUUAAGAAUCUCUGAUCAGAGUAUGAAUGAGAUUUAGGAAGUCGUUCCAAAUCACAUUCAAGGUAAUCAUAUAAGCACACGAAUCACAUUGGAUAGUAGACAUGAAUAAACUAUCAAACCAAACAAUGUGGUCAAGAGUAUUGUAUUAGAGAAAGACCGUAUUGCAUUUGUAAUCCUAAACUGAAUAGCUUCUCCACCUCUUCUGAUUAGCUUAGGUAACCAUGAUAUGCUGCUAGGUGUCACUCAUGGUUUGUGGAAGCCCUAAACGUGUAUAAUCACUAAAGGGAGAAUUGAAAGUAAGUUUCAAUUCAUAAUCGGUUUGAAAGAGUUCUAAUCGCCCACUGCCUCGCUAAAAGGAACCUAAUGGAUCGUACACCGUGUGAGGUAAAGAUUGAAGAAACAACGAAGAUGAGUAAGAAUAAUUAAAUGGUUUAAUUAUUUAUGGCAAGGAUUAAUUAAUAUGUUAAUUAAUCAAACGAAUAAGUUCGUUAAAGACCUCGGGAUAGUUUUGGACCUUAAGGCCCAAUGGGCUUCGAACGUCAAGUCCAUUGACUUAAGUUGUAUGACAACUUAAUGAAUAAUGAUUCACAAAGGCCCAAAUAGUCCAAUGAAUCCCUAUGGCCGGCCAUUUAGAGAUGGAGUGAGUUUUGGACUUAUUUACAAGUUUGCCACUCCAAUGAAUUAAGGUAUAAAUAUGACUUUAUAGCCAAAAUUCAUUUAGGGUUUCUUUUGGAGAAAGGAUGAGAACACAAAGCUCUCUUUUCUCUCUAAAGAGGCCGGCCACCCUAGAGGAAAUUAACUAGCAAUCUUGCUUCCUCUAGGUCACUUAUUUCUUCAUCAAUCCAUCCUUGGUGUGAAGACUUAGAGGUUCUCAAUUUUGGGAACUUGGAGAAACCUAUUUCAUCCAUCCAAAUCCAUAGAUCUAAGAUGCAAGGAAUGAAGGCCCUCUCUUUGGGUGAUUAGCCUUUGCUUAUGCAAAGAGGAAUCUACAAAGGUAUAAUUUCUCAACUCACUUUGAUUUGAGUUGAGUCUUGGUUCACCAAUCUACUAGGCUUUGAAUUUCAUGGUUAAUGUUUUGUUUUUUAAGUGCAUGCAAGCAUGAUUCCGCCUUUUAAUUGUUAAUAGCAUGCUAUAGAUGUUGCUUAAAUGAACAUGUCUCAACAAAUAUUUCCUUCAGUUUAUGGCCGAUCCACUAUCAACUAGCAUGCGGUUGACUUUGUACUCCCUUACGUACCCAGAGACGAAGAGAGGACAGUUGUGAGGCUUUGACCCUAGUAGGAAGUCUUUGUCAGUGAAAUUGAUUGCGUCAUGGGCGGCACAGUAUAUGGCAUAUUCAUGCGGCCAAACCUUCAAGCCUUUGUCCUUGUUUUCUUGCACCUCAUGGUCCUUUUUUUUGCAACCCCUUGGGCAGCUGUAGUGCUUUGUCGAUACUAAAGUAUGUCAUUAGGUAUUCUUUGGGUGUGAGCGUCUUCUUGUUGGAAAUGUGCCCUAAAGCCAAUCAUAUGAUAAUACAUUACGGACAUUUCACAUGUUAAACUAAUCUAGUUUAAUAUAAAGGGCAAAGAUUAUUGUUUGAGGCCGUCUCAUAUAAAUGUUAUAUGCUUCAACAAUAAGUCCAAGGAAUAUGUAAUUGGAAGAAUGUGAUCUAAAAAGCUAGAUUCAUAAGACCAUUCUCUUUCGUAUACAUAUCCUAAAAAUUCCUGAUGAUAAGAUUGCCAAUUGGGCAUUGACAAUCCGUUAAGAUCAAUACGUGCUAUGUCUUCUCUUAGGGAGAAUGACUUGUCUUGAAUCAUUGGUGUGACUGACACCAAGACAAGCAUGUAGGUGCUCAAUAGAGAAUGAGUUCAUUGAACACAAUCAACAAGGAGUUCUCAUACUCAUGUCACACGAGAACUCAUGGUUGGGAUAAUGCAAAGUAGUCCUUUGACCUGAGGCAUCGUAAUUGUCUUGUGGUUAGGUCCUUAAUCUUUGACUAUAUCAAAGUCACUCCGUCAGAGGGUGUCCACGACAUAGUUGGGGUUAAGCCACUUAGCCAUGGAGGCAAGUGAAUACGCAGCAAGGGAUUUCUAACCUUCAAACCAUUUGAGGGAGAAUACUCUAUGAUAUGAU